rnacentral:rRNA from 1 species
GACGAACGCUGGCGGCGUGCCUAAUACAUGCAAGUAGAACGCUGAAGAGAGGAGCUUGCUCUUCUUGGAUGAGUUGCGAACGGGUGAGUAACGCGUAGGUAACCUGCCUUGUAGCGGGGGAUAACUAUUGGAAACGAUAGCUAAUACCGCAUAACAAUAGGUGACACAUGUCAUUUAUUUGAAAGGGGCAAUUGCUCCACUACAAGAUGGACCUGCGUUGUAUUAGCUAGUAGGUGAGGUAACGGCUCACCUAGGCGACGAUACAUAGCCGACCUGAGAGGGUGAUCGGCCACACUGGGACUGAGACACGGCCCAGACUCCUACGGGAGGCAGCAGUAGGGAAUAUUCGGCAAUGGGGGCAACCCUGACCGAGCAACGCCGCGUGAGUGAAGAAGGUUUUCGGAUCGUAAAGCUCUGUUGUAAGUCAAGAACGAGUGUGAGAGUGGAAAGUUCACACUGUGACGGUAGCUUACCAGAAAGGGACGGCUAACUACGUG